GCAGACCACAAUGCACCGCUCACGGCGUCGGUUGCCCGGGCAAUGGGCCGCACGCUACGAGGCCCACACACCCAGAAGGUGGAGCCCCGGCCGGGUUACGAGGACCACCCAGCUGUCUGGAGAGAUGAAGAAAAUGAGGUUCAAAGAGAUGAAGUCUCUUGCCUAAAGUCAGUGACAGAAAGUGACAGAGCUGGGAUGUGAAUCCUGGUCUGACUCUACAGUCCCACAUGGUAGAUGGAACCUCCGAGCAACACCUAAACAAAAGGAGUUGAUGCCUCCGAACAGAGUAAUGUCGCUGGAGACACUAAGCAUCGUCGGCCCCUGGCAGGAGCUCCCUAAAUAUGUGUUGGAUGGAUGGAAGAAAGGAUGGAUAGUUCAGAGUACUUCAGCCUUGAUUCCUCCGCAACAGACACCUGAAACUUGACCCUACAUUGGUUCUUGGCCAUCGUGAUCUUCCUUGGACAGAAUCACCUUUCAGCUCCGGUCAUCAGACUUUCCCAGGGCCCUCAGAAAGCCCUUCAGAGUUGUUACUCACAGGCAGGCUGAGGGAUUCCUUACGGGGUCUGCAGCUCUCCUCACCUCAUCCACAAGUAGGACCGUGGCCUGUUCCUCACUACUGCCCCAGGAUCACUCUGUUCCCAGCCCAGUCCAGCAAUCACUUGUCUAGCUUUCUGGAACCUUGAGUACUUUCUUGAACCAUGAGUCCUGUGACCACCCUAGCAGCUCUAACCCUCCCUUAUCUGAAAGGAAGUGUGAGGUGACCUUGCAGGUCCCAGAGUUGAUUGAAGACCCCAUCCAGAAAGAAGGCACCCUGUGGGAGAGAUUGCAAGGCCUAGGUCUGAAUCCGGAAGCUUCCACCCCAUGGAGAAGGGCUGGCACCAGCCUGGGGCUGGCAGUGGAGCUGAGCUUUGGAGCCAAGGACUGUACUGCAGUGCAGGGAGAGUGAGGCCAGAAAGGCUGAGACAACUCAGGGAAAGAAAACCUCCCUUCUGGCUAAUAGUCAAGCACCGCCUGAGUAGACCAACACUCUCCUGUCCACAGGGGCAGCAGAUGAAGACACAACCAGAGAGGACUAACAGGCCCCCUCAGCUCUCAGUCAGAGGGCAGAGCAACACAGAAUAGACAUUAAAGGAACAGACUUUGAGGCCAGGCAGCCUUGGGUGUGCAUCUGUCCCUACUAAGCCAUGUGACAUUAAACAAGUGAGUCCACCUCUCUGAGCCUCAGGUUCCUCAUCUGUAAAAUGGGGAUUAUAAGAGUUCUUGUUUCUCAGGGACAAUGUGAGGAUUAAGUGAGAUGAUACACAUAGAGAAUGUGGUGCAGUACUGGGCACAUGGCAAAGAUCAGUGAUGCUAGCUACCACUUAUCAUUAGUGUUCCUGUAGACCAGGACUUCUCAACCUUGGCACUAUUCACCUUUUGGGCCAGAAAGUUUUUUUUGUUGUUGUUGUGGGGAGCUGUCCUAUGCAUUUGAGGAUGUUUAACAGCACCCCUGGCCUCUACCCACUAGAUGCCAAUCACACCACACCCCCAGUUUCAACAACCAAAAAUGUCUGCAGAUGGUGCCGAAUGUCUUCUGGAGGGUGAAAUCACUCCCCAGCAGUUGAAAAGCACCACCCUAAACAAUCUGGACUGAAUUUGAAUGUCACAGAUCCCAAGCUCACAGCUCCAUGUAAAGGCCACAAGGCAGGCAGGCCUACUUGCAGAUGAAGGAACGGAAAGAGCAACAAUUACAGAUCAAGCGGCUAGCUCCGGUGUAGACUAAGAGGCGGGAUCUGUAGUCUGCUCUAGGAGCUAACAAGGCCUCUGUGACUCAGUAGGUGACCUCAGUGUCACUCUUUAAUUAUAUGCAAAGUGGUCUUGUGUUAACUCUUAAUUAUUCUAGGGCUCCAAACAAGAAAAUAGGUAGUUGGUAUCUGAUUUCUGGCAUCAAGAUCCUGAUUCAUUGACUGGGAGAAAAUCUGACUCUCCAAAACUCUUUCAGAGUUCAUUUAGCCCUUCAUUUAUGACUCUGGGGAGAUUUCUGAGCGAGAGCUAGGUGUCAGGCCCUGUUCCAGGUGCUGGAGAUGCACAAGAGAACAAAAUAGGCAAAGUUUCCUUUUUAUGGAACUUAUAGCAGGAGAAUAAAGAUAAAAACAAGCAAAAAUAUUUAUCUCUGAUAAGGGCAAUGGAUAAAAAUAAAGUAGAAUAGGCCAGGCACGGUGGCUUACGCCUGUAAUCCUAGCACUUUGGGAGGCCAAGGCGGGCAGAUUGCCUGAGCUCAGGAGUUCGGGACCAGCCUGGGCAACACGGUGAAACCCCGUCUCUACUAAAAUACAAAAAAUUAGCUGGGCGUGGCAGCGUGCACCUGUAGUCCCAGCUACUUGGGAGGCUGAGGCAGGAGAAUUGCUUGAACCUGGGAGGCAGAGGUUGCAGUGAGCUGAGAUCGCGCCACUGCACUCCAGUCUGGGUGACAGAGAGAGACUCCACCUCAAAAAAAUUUAAAAAAGUAGACUAAGAGAACCAAGCAUCGCUGGGUGAGGGGUCUUGUUUUAAAGAGUUUUCUAGGAAGACCUCUCUGAGAAGGCACCAUUUGAGCCAAGACUUGAUGACCUGGCUACUGCAUGAGGAUGGAAGGUGGGGAAGCUGAUGGGAGCAGCGAGAGAGGUGGGAGCAGUUAGAGGCUAUUGCAGCAGUCCAGGUAAGAAGGAAUGGUGGCUUGGACAAGGAGGUGGUAGCAGAGAUAGGGCAGAGAUGGCCAGAUUCCAGAUGUAUUCUGAAGGUAGAGCUGACAGAUUUGCUGAGCAAUUGGAUGCAGAAUAGGAGGGAACCAGAGGCAGUCAAGGAUGACUCCAGACUUGUGAGCUGAACAAUGAGAAGAAUAGAUUGAGAUGGGGAAGUCUGGCAGAGGAAACAAGAAGUUCUGCUUUGGCCAUGUUAAGUUUGAGAUGCCUAUUAGAUAUUCCAAGUGGAGAUGUCAAAUAUGCAGUUGGAUAUAUGAGUUCUGGGAAGAGGGCCAGCCUUGAGCUAUAAUUUGGAGAGUCAUCAGCUUAUAGGUGACAUUUAAAGCAAUGGGACUGGAUGAGAUCACCACUGAGGGCGGAGUACGUGUAGAUGGAAGUAAUGCUUAUUCAGCUAGCAAUAUUCUCUGAGCGUUUACUAUGGGCCAGGCCCGGAGCUAGGUGCUAGGUACAGAGAUGGACUUCCUUUGGCACCUGCCCCAGAGAAGCUCUAUUACUUACUUAAUUUUCCUGCCUAAGUGCUUUGGCCAUGUAGAGGAUGAGCCUUGAGUUCCUACCCUGUCUUUUAGUCACUUAGUCCUUUUUUUCUCUUUUUUCUUUUUUUGAGACAGAGUUUCGUUCUUGUUGCCCAGGCUGGAGUGCAAUGGCAUGAUCUUGGCUCACCACAACCUCCGCCUCCUGGGUUCAAGCAAUCCUCCUGUCUCAGCCUCCUCAGUAGGUGGGAUUACCGGCAUGCACCACCACAUCGGGCUAAUUUUUUGUAUUUUUAGUUGACAUGGGGUUUCUCCAUGUUGGUCAGGCUGGCCUUGAACUCCCGACCUCAGGUGAUCCACCCGCCUCGGCCUCCCAAAGUGCUGGGAUUACCUGCGUGAACCACCGCACCCUGCAUCAUUUUUUCAGCAGACAUUUGUUGAGCACCUGCUUGAUACAAGGCACCCAUCUAGGCACAAGGGACAUGAAAGGAAGCGAGUCAGACACAGUUCCUAUCCUUUUGGAGUUUAGAUUUUAUGUGUGGAGACAGACAUUGAACAGGAUGCACACAGGAUCACAGGAUGUGACAAAUGCAGUGGAGGAGAAAGAUAGGCUGGUGUGAGAGCUGUUAAUGGGGGCUCUGCUCUAGCCGGAGAGGCAAGGAAGGCUUUUCCAGGAGUCACAUUAGAGGAACAAUCUAUACAAGCAGGGAACUAGGCUGGGGGAAGUGCAGGGAGCUUUUUAGGUGGAAAGAACAGCAUGUUCAAAGGCCUGAAGCUGGAAGGAGGCUGGCUGACUUGGCUCCAGAGAAGCUGUUGGGGGAGUGUGGGAGAGACAAGACAGGGAGUAGGGGUGGGGAGAAGCCAGACCUUUGGAGUCUUGUAAGUCUGGUUAAGACACGUGGACUGUCUUCUGCGGCCACCAGUGGCUCUGUUGAGGUGGGAAAUUAAAGAAAAGCAAAAUUAAAAAGAAAGAGAAAUAAGUUUUUCUGUAUGAGGGUGACUUGUCCCAGAGGCAGCAAUAGGCACAGGCCAGACCCAGGAAAAUUCUUCAUAAUAUUAUCUAAUGUGCUCUGGAGAUUCUCCCAGUACUCCCUCAACAUAGGGAGAAGAAAAACAAAUUUUCCUUUGUUUUAUGGAAUGAGUUUAUAGAUUCCUAUUCUCUGUAACCAGUGACUUCAAGUAUUGUUUUAUCUAAGCAGUGGAGUGAAGGUCAUGAGCCUCUGAGCUGGCCUGAGUUACGGCCACCUGGGCGCCAUAGUGAAGGUUAUGGGAUAAGUCUGUGCCUGGGCAAACCUAGAUAACGGACAUCUGGGUUGCUUGGCAACGGUCACGUGCAAUCCUGAGUUUGUCCUGCCUCUAUAUCCCUGCUUUCAUGCCACUGUAAGCUUGCUUCAAGCUAGCCCACCCCCUUUUGUGAAGUGUGUAUAGAAGUCAAGUGCUGUCUUUCUUCCGGGCCCAGUCUUUUGGACGUUGAGUCAGCUGGGCCUGAGUGCACUCAAUAAAUGAUUCUCCUGUUUUAGAUUGAGACCAUCCUGACUAACACGGUGAAACCCCGUCUCUACUAAAAAUACAAAAACAAAAUUAGCCGGGUGUGGUGGUGGGCGCCUGUAGUCCCAGCUACUCGGGAGGCUGAGGCAGGAGAAUGGUGUGAACCCAGUAAAUACUGCACAUGUGUAAUGAGCCGAGAUCGCGCCACUGCACUCCAGCCUGGGCAACAGAGCAAGAGUCCGUCUCAAAAAAAAAAAAAAAAAAAAAAAAAAAAAAAAAAAAAAGGCCGGGCACGGUGGCUUACGCCUGUAAUCCCAGCACUUUCAGAGGCUGAGGCGGGUGGAUCACGAGGUCAGAGAUCGAGACCAUCCUGGCUAACACAGUGAAACCCUGUCUCUACUAAAAAUACAAAAAAUUAGCCGGGUGUGGUGGCGGGCGCCUGUAGUCCCAGCUACUAGGGAGGCUGAAGCAGGACAAUGGUGUGAACCUGGGAGGCAGAGCUUGCAGUGAGCCGAGAUGGCGCCAUUGCACUCCAGCCUGGGCGACAGAGCGAGACUGCAUCUCAAAAAAAAAAAAAAAAAAGAUUCUCCUGUUUUAACCCGAGGUCUCUCUCUCAUCCUCCUGAAUCCCACAACACUGAAAGGUAGUGGGUAGGGAUUCAUAUGAUCAGAGGGCCACUGAAGUGGGCAGGUUAGUAGGGCAGCCAGGACACCAGUGAGGAGGUUAUUGAUUGUUGCCUCUUUGCUUCAGGCUCUUGGUUUCUCCAUUUUAAACAUCUGUUUGCACUCCAGGUGCAUGAGCCACUGAACCUGGCCAAUGUAUCAUUUUUGUUACCUGCUUUUCGUAAUCCCAGCACUUUGGGAGGCCGAGGCAGGUGGAUCACGAGGUCGGGAGUUCAAGACCAGCCUGGCCAAGAUGUUAAAACCCUGUCUCUACUAAAAAUACAAAAAUUGGCUGGGUGUGGUGGUGGGCGCCUGUAAUCUCAGCUACUUGGGAGGGUGAGGCAGAGAAUUGCUUGAACCUAGGAGGUGGAGGUUGCAGUGAGCCGAGAUCGUGCCACUGCACUCCAGCCUGGGCGACAGAGCAAGACUCCAUCUCAAAAAAAAAAAAAAAAAAAAAAAGCCUUCUACAACAUAACUAUUUACUUAUGUAUUUUUAAAGAUGGGGUCCCACUCUCACCCAGGCUGGAGUACAGUGGUGCAAUCCUAGCUCACUGCAGCCUCAAACUCCUGGGCUCAAGCAGGCAUCCUGCCUUCACCUCCCAAAGUGCUGGGAUUACAAGCAUGAGCUACUGCACCCAGCCCAAUUUUAAUAGCUUCUUUAUAGCCCAUGCGGCCAGGGGCGGUGGCUCACGCCUGUAAUCCCAGCACUUUGGGAGGCCCAGGUGGUUGGAUCACUUGCGGUCAGAAGUUCGAGACCAGCCUGGCCAAUAUGGUGAAACCCCAUCUCUACUAAAAAUAUAAAAAAUUAGCCAGGUGUAGUGUUGCGUGCCUGUAGGCUACUUAGGAGGCUGAGGCAGGAGAAUCGCUUGAACCCAGGAAGCAAAGCGGAGGUUGCAGUGAUCCGAGAUUGCGCUAUUGCACUCCAGCCUGGGUGUCACAGUGAGACUCCGUCUCAAAAAAAAAAAAAAAAGUCCAUGCAUAACUUCUUGAAACAAUCACUUAUCAGUGGACACUUAAGUUGCUUCCAGUUUUUCAGUAUUGUAACAGUGCUUUGUUCUGAUGAAUAUCUUUCAAAGAUAAAAAUAAUCUUUUUAAUUCUACUUUCAGAAGUAAUAGGUACUCAUUGUAUAAAAGUGAAACACUGUAGAAAUUUAGAAUCUGAAAAAGAAAGUUCCUUUGUAAGAUCUGUAAUCUUACAACUCAAAGAUAAUGUUAAAAUUUGAUUUUUUCCCGGCAUAUAACAGGCUUUUUUCCUUUUUACCAAAAUGGGAUGAUUCUGAGUUCCCUGUCACGAUAUAUAAAUCUACUUUAUUCCUUUCAUAAACUUCCAUGCAUUUCCACCACCUGUCCCCACCCACCCACCCACAUCUGUAUACACACAUUCUGCCUCCCUUGCCGUUACCCUGUAUGAACUGUUCAUGCUCCUAUCUAAGGCCAUCUCCCUGGCACUGGGUCCAUCUCCUCUCAUUCCUGUGAUUGUCUCUUCUCCCUCUCCUGCAUCAUCAGUUUCCCCUGUCUACUGGAUUAUUCCCACCAGCGUGCAAACAUGCUGUCAUAUUCUUUUAAAAAUGCUUCCCUUGCCUACACAUUCUCCUGUAGCUACCAUCCCAUCUCGGCUUUCCUCCAAGAGUUGUCUGUACUCCCUGUCCCCGAUUCCUCACCUCCCAUUCUCUCUUUAAUCCACUGCACCCACACAGCUCAAAUGUGGUGGUCACCGGUGACCACCAUGCUGCUAAACACAGUGGCCAAUUCUCAGUGCCCUUCAUGGCCAUACAUGUCACAGUUGCUCUCUUCCUCUGGGUCCUCCCUUGGCUUCCAGGACCACACACUCUCUUAGCUGUCCUCCCAUCUCACUGGCUGCUCCACCUCAGGCUCCUCUGUUUGUUUCCCCUUUUCUCCAUGACAUCUGAAGGAAGAAGUGAACCAGGCCUUCUCUAUUGGGCUACUUCUCUAUUUAAACUCUCUCUUGGGAGUCUCCAUUUUCAUGGCUUUAAAUUUCAUGGCUCACAACUCUCAAAUUUGUAUUUUCACCCCAAACUUUGCCCCUGAAUGCCCAUCCCAUAUCUCUAAGUCCUAUUUGAAAUAGCUCUAGGAUGUCUAACAGGCAUCUGUCUCAAACCUAACACAUCCACAACAGACCUAUUCUACUCCCAAACCUGCCUGCUUAUCCUGCAGGCUUCCUUAUCACUGUAAAUAGCCACUGCAUUCUUCCAGGUGCUCAGGAGAGAGAUCUAGAAGUUUUCCUUGACUUGUGUAUAUUCCUCACACCUCACAUCUAAUUUAAGCACAUUAAUGAGCUUAAAUUCUUUAAGCUCAAUCUUGAAAAUAUAUCUCACCACCUUCGCUCUUCUUCUGACCUUUUUUUUUUUUUUUGAUACAGAGCUUCUCUCUGUCAUCCAGGCUAGAGUACAGUAGCACAAUCUCAGCUCACUGCAGCCUCCACCUCCCAAGUUCAAGCAAUUCUCCUGCCUCAGCCUCCCUUGUAGCUGGGGUUACAGGUGUGCACCACCACACCCAGAUAAUUUUUGUAUUUUUAGUAGAGACGGGGUUUCACCACAUUGGUCAGGCUGGUCUCAAACUCCUGACCUUGUGAUCCACCCGCCUCAGACUCCCAAAGUGCUGGGAUUACAGGUGUAAGCCACCGUGCCUGGCCUUUUUUUUUCUUUAAGAGAUGAGGUCUUGCUCUGUUUUCCAGGCUGGAUCCUGGGCUUGAGGGAUCCUCCUGCGUCAGCCUCUCGAGUAGCUGGGACCACAGGCACGAGCCACCGAUGCCUGGCUAAAUUUUUACUUUUUUGUAGAGAUGGAGGUCUCGCCAUCUUGCCCAGGCUGGUCUCGAACUCAUGGACUCAAGCAAUCCUCCUGCCUCAGCCUCCCAAAGCCCAUGUCUGGCCUGGGCUGUCUAUUCUGUCUCACUGCUCUAUGUGUUUAUCUUUUUGCUGAUACCACCCUACUUUGAAUACUGUAACUUUAUAGUGAGUCUUGAAGUUGGGUAAUGUGAGUAUGUGAGUCCUCUGACUAUUUUUUUUUUCAGAAUUGUUUUGGCUAAUCUAGUACCUUUGCCUUUCUCUGUAAAAAAAUUGUUUUGGCUAGGCCGGGCAUGGUGGCUCACGCCUGUAAUCCCAGCACUUUGGGAGGCCGAGGCAGGCGGAUCACAAGGUCAGGAGAUUGAAACCAUCUUGGCUAACACUGUGAAACCCCAUCUCCACUAAAAAUACAAAAAAUUAGCCGGGCACGGUGGCAGGCGCCUGUAGUCCCAGCUACCUGAGAGGCUGAGGCAGGAGAAUGGCGUGAACCCGGGAGGUGGAGCUUGCAGCGAGCCGAGAUGGCGCCACUGCACUACAGCCUGGGCGAUAGAGCGCGACUCCAUCUCAAAAAAAAAAAAAAUUGUUUUGGCAAAUCUAGUACCUUUGCCUUUCUAUGUUGCCCGGGCUGGAGUGCAUUGGCUACUCACAGGCAUGAUCAUGGUGUAUUAUAGCCUCAAACUCCUGGCCUCCAGCGAUCUUCCUGUCUCAGCUCCCAAGUAGCUCCCAAGUGUGCAACUGAGACUACAGGUGCAAAACACAGUGCCCUGGCUUCUCUGUAAAUUUUAGAAUCAGUUUGUAGACAGUGUCUGGGAGGAAAAACUUUUUAUCUACCCUCAGGUUUAGUCUUUGGGGACCUGUGAAUUAAACAGACGAAAGAUAUAUUAACAAGAGAAGGCCAAGCGUGGUGGCUUACACCCAUAAUCCCAACACUCUGGGAGGCUGAGGCGGGAGGAUCACUUGAGUCCAGGAGGUCGAGGCUGCCGUGGGCUAGCAUCAUGCCACUGCACUGCCCCAUGGGCAACAGAGCGAGACCCCUGUCUCUAAAACAAACAAAAAGAAGACAAAAUUUAAUCAUUUAUUUUAUUAACAUACAUAUGGGAGUUCACCAGAAAGACUAUCCACAUUACUAGAGAUGGAAACUUUCAGCUCCUUCCCCCAACCUCCAGGGAGGGGAGUGGGGCUAGAGACUGGGCUCCAAACACUCUUGAACAGGAGGUUCCGAAAGUCUGGAAUGAUGAACGCAUUGAUGUGCUGGGAGGGUGGUGCACCUGGAGAGGACAUGGAAGCUCUGUUCCCACCUCCUCCUGCUGUGCCCCGCCCCAUGCCUUGCCCUAUGCAUCGCUUCCAUUUGGUUGAUCCUAGUUGUAUCCUUUAUAAUAAACUGGAAAAUGUAAAUAAGGUGCUGUCCUGAGUUCUGUGAGUCACUCUAGUAAAUUAUUGAACCUGAAGGGGGUGAGUGGGAACCUCUGAAUUUGUAGUAGGCCCAACAAAAAUGUGGGUAGCUGGGGCACCUCAUUUGUGCAGGCAUCUAAAGUGGGGGCGGUCUUGUGGGACUCAGUCCUUAACUUUUGUUCAGGGUCUGUGCUAACUCUGGGUAGUUAGUGUCAGAACUGAAUAGAAUUUUCAGAGGUCCAGUUGAUCUCAGAUAAUUGAACAAUUGAUGUGGAAAAAUGACACGUAUCUGGUGCCAGAGAUAAAGACCGCACCACACAUUUGGUGUCAGAAAUAGUGUCAAAGAUAAGACAUCACAGGAAGUCACUGGUAUUAGCACAGUGUUAUACAUACAGA
rnacentral:lncRNA from 1 species